GUCGGUCGUACUCUCUGGAAGAAAACAUCUCCCUCCGCCCCCUCUCUCUCUCUCUUAGAAAACAUCUCCCUCUCUCUCGCGCACACGAACCCUAGCCCUCUCCCGAUCCAAGUCCGCCAACCACCUCCCUCUCCCCUCGCCGCCGGUCUACACCCUCCCUCUCCUGGCCGGUGUCGCGGGUGAAUCUCGUGUAAGCUCCCCUCCCCUCCCCUCCCCCAGAUAUCCCUCCCCCUCCUCCAGAUCGGCCCUCGGCCGACCGAUCCGCACGGCGCUGACGGCGGUGCGUGUGUGAUGCAGGCAUGGGUGCGGGGAUCCGCUGCCGCCAAGAAUCUUUCCCUCACUCACACGAGACAGAUGCGCGAGACUGACGGACCAGUAAAGUCCACUGCCUCUUCUGCCGCGCCGGUCUGCUUCCCGUCGUCUUUGCUCCAAGGCAUCUUUUGUUGGUGCCAUGGCGAUCGCGGACCUGGUCAAGACCACACUGGGGCCAAAACGAAUGGGAUGUGUGCUGUUCCCAGAGAAAAUGUACAUUUGGACAAAAUAUGGCAGCCAUUCGAAUGCCAAUGUGAUUUCUGAGAAGCAGAGGUGCAACCACGAUCGCCUCAACACCAAGAAGGCACAACAGCUUGUUGAAUGUUCCUCAUGACUUUCAGGCCUUCAUCAAGCUCAAAGUGUUGCAUUACCUCUCUUUUAUAGGAGCUCCAGGAUGAAGAAAUUUGAAGAAGCCUGAAUCCUGAAACCGGACAAAGCUGAGAGUAGCUAGUUAUAAUGUAGUGCUAGUUAUGUUGUACAGUAGUUGGCGUAUCAGACUGUAUGAACACCGCAAAGACUGUAGUUUCGUAUGUUUUAGUGGAAAUUUUUGGUAUCAUUUCAAGAAUUUCGUAUGUUCUCUUGCCAUUUGAAAUAUUUGUCAUUUCUGUA